AGACCCGGAAGUGGAUCGUGCAGAGCAAGCAUCACACCAUGGCGUAUGAGUGUUCCUCUGUGUAGACUCAACCUGCGCCUCGCCGUCCCCCAUUCGCACACCCGAUGCCCGGGGGUCGCUACGGACUUGAAAUCGCCGCACCGCACCCUCCACCUCAGAUGGGGACUUACUAUGUUGCCCAGGCUGGAUUCAGUGCCAAGUCUCAAAGGCCAAGAAACGUUCUGGAUCCGAACACUGCCCCCCGACAACCUAGAGAGAUCCCAGCUCCCAGCCCACUGAGUGGCUUCAGCCUCGCUGGCACCUCCAAACUCCUGGCCCCUCUGCACCAGGCGCCUGCCCUGGGCCCCACCUACAGGGGACCCAGCUCUUCUAGCAGCUGCUGGAAGCUGAUCACCUGCAGUGAAGGCCUCACACGAAGAAGUCUGGAAGAAGAGGAAGAGGAAAGAAAAGGAGUCAGGGAUGGCCCUUACUCAGGUAAAGUGAUAUUCCUGGUGGAUUGUUCUUUUAUUUCUUCCUGAAAUGCCUGGCAUUGGCACUGCGAGUCUUCUCUGAGUCUGAAGCAUCCUGCCUGACAUGUUUGCUGGCCCUCACCCGUGCCUUCCCU
rnacentral:sRNA from 1 species